UUGCACGCUGGCGGCAGGCCUAACACCUGCAAGUCGAACGGUAACAGGAAGAAGCUUGCUUCUUUGCUGACGAGUGGCGGACGGGUGAGUAAUGUCUGGGAAACUGCCUGAUGGAGGGGGAUAACUACUGGAAACGGUAGCUAAUACCGCAUAAUGUCGCAAGACCAAAGAGGGGGACCUUCGGGCCUCUUGCCAUCGGAUGUGCCCAGAUGGGAUUAGCUAGUAGGUGGGGUAACGGCUCACCUAGGCGACGAUCCCUAGCUGGUCUGAGAGGAUGACCAGCCACACUGGAACUGAGACACGGUCCAGACUCCUACGGGAGGCAGCAGUGGGGAAUAUUGCACAAUGGGCGCAAGCCUGAUGCAGCUAUGCCGCGUGUAUGAAGAAGGCCUUCGGGUUGUAAAGUACUUUCAGCGGGGAGGAAGGGAGUAAAGUUAAUACCUUUGCUCAUUGACGUUACCCGCAGAAGAAGCACCGGCUAACUCCGUG
rnacentral:rRNA from 1 species